GACGAACGCUGGCGGCGUGCCUAAUACAUGCAAGUAGGACGCACAGUUUAUACCGUAGCUUGCUAUACCAUAGACUGUGAGUUGCGAACGGGUGAGUAACGCGUAGGUAACCUGCCUAUUAAAGGGGGAUAACUAUUGGAAACGAUAGCUAAUACCGCAUAACAGUAUGUAACACAUGUUAGAUGCUUGAAAGAUGCAAUUGCAUCGCUAGUAGAUGGACCUGCGUUGUAUUAGCUAGUAGGUAGGGUAAUGGCCUACCUAGGCAACGAUACAUAGCCGACCUGAGAGGGUGAUCGGCCACACUGGGACUGAGACACGGCCCAGACUCCUACGGGAGGCAGCAGUAGGGAAUCUUCGGCAAUGGGGGGAACCCUGACCGAGCAACGCCGCGUGAGUGAAGAAGGUUUUCGGAUCGUAAAGCUCUGUUGUUAAGGAAGAACGAGUGUGAGAAUGGAAAGUUCAUACUGUGACG
rnacentral:rRNA from 1 species